AUGGGACGAAACAAGGCCCGAAGGUUGAGGGAAAAGGGUCAGGCAAAUGCUGAUUACGCCGCUCAACAUGAAGUGGCGGCCUCAUUGCGAUUACUGAUAGGAAUUCUUAAAGAUGUACUUUCAGGUUCUGGAAUUUCUUCUUCUAGCACAUCAGUUUCUCCUGCUUUAAGUAAGCCACCAGAGCAGAUCUUUGAGAUUGUCAAUCUGGCAAAUGAGCUACUUCCUCCAUUGCCACAAGGAACCAUUUCUUCCAAAACUGUAAAAAGUCGUCUGAGCAAACCAAUGGAACUGGUUCUGAGGUUUCAGCUCGUGAGAAAUUAUUGAAUGAACAGCCUGGGCUUCUCCAGCAAUUUGGAAUGGAUCUCCUUCCUGUUUUAAUACAGAUUUAUGGUUCUAGCGUUAAUGGCCCUGUUCGCCACAAAUGUCUUUCAGUAAUUGGGAAAUUAAUGUACUUCAGCAAUGCAGAGAUGAUACAGUCUUUAUUAAGUUCAACAAAUAUUUCAAGUUUCUUAGCCGGUGUCUUAGCAUGGAAAGAUCCGCAUGUCUUGGUUCCUGCUCUCCAAAUUGCUGAGAUACUCAUGGAGAAGCUUCCCAAUACUUUCUCCAAGGUGUUUGUGAGAGAAGGUGUUGUUCAUGCCGUGGACCAACUUAUCUUACCUGGUACUCCAAAUUCAGUUCCUGUCCCAGUAUCUUCUGCUGAAAAGGAUAGUGAUCCUGUUCCUGGAACAUCAUCACGUUCUAGGCGUUAUAGACGACGCAACAGUAACUCAAAUCCAGAUGGAAAUUCAUUGGAAGAAACUAAGAUUCCCCCUUCAGCAAAUAUUGGUUCACCUCCAAGUUCAGUGGAGAUUCCUACUGUUAACUCCAGCCUUCGAAUGGCUGUCAGUGCAUGUGCUAAAGCUUUUAAAGACAAGUACUUCCCUUCAGAUCCUGGGGCUGUUGAAGUUGGAGUUACAGAUGAUCUAUUACAUUUAAAGAAUCUAUGCAUGAAGUUGAAUGCAGGUGUUGAUGACCAAAAAACGAAAGCAAAGGGAAAGUCGAAAGCUUUUGGGUCUCGCUUGGUUGAUAGUUCUGCAAGUAAGGAGGAGUACAUGAUUGGUGUGGUAUCUGAGAUGCUAGCCGAACUAAGCAAGGGGGAUGGUGUAUCCACUUUUGAGUUCAUUGGUAGUGGUGUUGUUGCAGCAUUGCUCAACUAUUUUUCUUAUGGGUACUUCUCCAAGGAGAGGAUUUCGGAAGCUAAUUUGCCCAAGCUUCAUGAGCAAGCACUGAGAAGAUUUAAGUCAUUUGUUGCUGUUGCUCUUCCUUUCAGUAUUAAUGAAGGAAGUGUAGCACCAAUGACUGUCCUCGUUCAGAAGCUCCAAAAUGCUUUGUCCUCCUUAGAGCGUUUUUCCGGUUGUGCUGAGUCAUUCAUCUAGGUCAUCCACUGGGAGCGCACGCCUCUCUCCUCUGGACUUAGUGCAUUAUCUCAGCCCUUUAAGUUGCGUCUUUGUCGAGCACAAGGAGAAAAGACCAUCCGAGACUAUUCAUCGAACGUUGUUCUGAUUGAUCCAUUAGCAAGUUUAGCUGCUGUAGAAGAGUUUCUUUGGCCUCGAGUACACAGCGAGGGGAAUCUGGUCAGAAGCCUGCUGCCUCUGCUGGAAACUCGGAAUCUGGAACUACACCUACAGGUGCUGGUGCUUCAUCUCUGUCUACUUCAAAUCCUGCUUCCACCACUCGUCGCCAUUCAACGCGAUCCAGAACAUCUGUGAAUAUAGGAGAUACAGCUAGGAGGGAACCAUCACAAGAGAAGAGCACAAGCUCAUCAAAAGGGAAGGGUAAAGCUGUUUUGAAGCCUUCUCAGGAGGAAGCAAGAGGACCUCAAACGAGAAAUGCAGCUCGUAGACGGGCAGCUCUUGAUAAAGAUGUUCAAAUGAAGCCCACAAAUGGGGACACUACUUCUGAGGAUGAGGAAUUGGAUAUAUCGCCUGUUGAGAUGGAUGAAUUGGUUAUUGAAGAUGAUGAUAUCUCAGAUGACGAAGAUGAUGACCAUGAUGUUCUAAGAGAUGACUCUCUUCCCGUUUGCAUGCCGGAUAAAGUACACGAUGUCAAAUUGGGAGACUCAACUGAGGAUGCUACUGUAGCUUCAGCCACAAGUGACAAUCAUACUAACCCAGCUUCUGGCUCUAGUAGCAGAGCUGCUACAGGUAGAGGCUCAGAUUCUGCUGAGCAUAGGAGUAGUAAUUCUGCUUAUGGUUCAAAAGGUGCAAUGUCAUUUGCUGCUGCCGCCAUGGCUGGGCUUGGAUCUGCCAGCAGGGGCAUUAGGGGAGGCAGAGAUAGACAAGGACGUCCUAUUUUUGGCAGUUCUAGUGAUCCUCCUAAGUUGAUUUUUACUUCUGGAGGGAAGCAGCUUAAUAGGCAUCUGACUAUCUAUCAGGCUAUUCAGAGACAGCUUGUGCAGGAUGAGGAUGAUGAUGAAAGGUAUGCUGGGAGUGAUUUUGUAUCCAGUGAAGGUAGCAGGCUAUGGAGUGAUAUUUACACUAUCACAUACCAGAGGCCAGACAAUCAAACUGACAGGGCAUCUGUUGGAGGUGCAAGUCCUACAACUGCAACAAAAUCUGGGAAAUCUGCCUCUGCUUCCAAUUCCAACUCCGAAUCUCAAUUGCAUCGAAUGUCACUUUUGGAUAGUAUUUUGCAGGGAGAGCUUCCUUGUGAUUUAGAAAAAUCUAAUCCUACUUAUAAUAUACUGGCACUACUGCGUGUACUAGAGGGCUUGAAUCAGCUUGCUCCUCGCCUGAGAGCUCAGAUAGUUUCCGACAGUUUUGCGGAGGGUAAAGUUUUGAAUUUGGAUGACUUGAGUACAACUGGUGCUAGAGUUUUUCCUGAGGAAUUUAUUAACAGCAAACUCACUCCCAAAUUAGCCCGGCAAAUUCAAGAUGCCCUUGCAUUGUGCAGUGGGAGUCUUCCUUCUUGGUGUUACCAGUUGACAAAAGCAUGUCCAUUUUUGUUUCCUUUUGAGACUCGGAGACAGUAUUUCUAUUCAACAGCUUUUGGAUUGUCUCGCGCUCUGUACCGUCUUCAGCAGCAGCAGGGUGCUGAUGGUCAUGCAAAUGAACGAGAGGUGAGAGUUGGGAGAUUGCAACGGCAGAAAGUCCGCGUUUCCCGAAACCGGAUUUUGGAUUCUGCUGCAAAAGUAAUGGAGAUGUAUUCCAGCCAAAAAUCUGUGCUUGAAGUAGAAUAUUUUGGUGAAGUGGGCACUGGCUUGGGUCCUACGCUUGAGUUCUACACACUUUUAAGUCAUGACCUACAAAGAGUUAGACUUGGCAUGUGGAGGUCAAAUUCUUCAAUGGAGAAGACAUCAAUGGAUAUUGAUGGAGAUGAACCUAAAGAUGGCAAAAGCAAUGGCGACAUUGUCCAAGCUCCGCUUGGGUUGUUCCCUCGUCCCUGGCCUCCAAACGCUGUUGCUUCUGAUGGUAGCCAGUUUUCAAAAGUGAUAGAAUACUUUAGGUUGGUUGGGCGUGUGAUGGCGAAGGCUCUUCAAGAUGGGCGGCUAUUGGAUUUGCCACUAUCAACAGCAUUUUAUAAGCUUUUGCUUGGUCAAGAGCUUGAUUUACAUGAUAUCCUUUCCUUUGAUGCUGAGCUUGGAAAGACUCUGCAAGAAUUACAUAAUCUUGUCUGCCGGAAACUAUAUUUAGAAUCAAAUGGUGAUAAUCGUGAUGCCAUUGUUGAAUUGCAUUUACGUGGAGUGUCAAUUGAUGACCUGUGUUUAGAUUUUACACUCCCUGGCUAUCCAGAUUAUGUGUUGAAACCUGGAGAUGAAAAUGUUGACAUCAAUAACUUGGAGGAGUACAUAACUUUAGUUGUUGACGCGACAGUGAAGACUGGGAUAAUGAGGCAAAUUGAAGCAUUUAGAGCAGGGUUUAAUCAGGUCUUUGACAUAUCGUCUUUACAAAUAUUUACUCCACAUGAGUUGGACUAUCUGCUUUGUGGUCGUCGAGAGUUGUGGGAGGCGGAGACCCUUGCUGAUCAUAUAAAGUUUGAUCAUGGAUACAAUGCCAAGAGCCCUGCAAUACUUAAUUUGCUCGAGAUUAUGGGUGAGUUCACGCCAGAGCAGCAGCGUGCCUUCUGCCAGUUUGUUACUGGUGCACCUCGGCUUCCACCUGGUGGUUUGGCGGUGCUGAAUCCAAAACUGACGAUUGUGAGAAAGCAUUCUUCAACCGCAAAUAAUGCUGCAACCAACGGGACCGGGGUUUCAGAGUUGGCAGAUGAUGACCUGCCCAGUGUCAUGACAUGCGCUAAUUACCUGAAGCUUCCUCCUUAUUCAACCAAGGAAAUUAUGUUCAAGAAAUUAUUGUAUGCAAUCAGUGAAGGGCAAGGAUCCUUUGAUUUGUCAUGAGCUUUUUGGGAUUAGCCAUAUUGAUCCGUGUAUAUUAAUUACAUUCAAAACAAUUAGGGGUGUUUUGUCUUCCGCUUGCAAUUAAUUAGCCUUAGCCUUGGAUGACUUUUGAUGUUGGAAGUGGCAUUUCUACUUCUCCACUCAAAUAAUGGCUUUUGUCGUUGGCGCGGUCUUAAACUUAUCAACAUUGUUGAGGUUGGAUCGACGCAAUUUUAAACUGUAGAGAGUGAAUGGAGAGAGCCGUUUGAGCCGCCAAGGACUGUAAAUAAAUAUAGGGUGAUAGAAUAUACAUGUAUGGCGGUAAAAAGGAUGAAAGGGAAACAAAAACAUGUGAAACAUUUUUAUGUCUUGUAAUUUCAUUCCAAUUCUGAUUUCAAAUAAAUUUGUUCCAGCUUAUUUCCAUU